UUUCCGUAGGUGAACCUGCGGAAGGAUCAUUACUGAGUGAGGGCCCUCUGGGUCCAACCUCCCACCCGUGUUUAUUAUACCUGGUGGCUUCGGUGAGCCCGCCUCACGGCCGCCGGGGGGCAUCUGCCCCCGGGCGCGCGCCCACCGAAGACACCUAGAACUCUGUAUGAAGAUUGCAGUCUGAGCAAAAACUAAAUAAGUUAAAACUUUCAACAACGGAUCUCUUGGUUCCG
rnacentral:misc_RNA from 1 species